rnacentral:rRNA from 1 species
UACAGAGGUCUCAAGCGUUGUUCGGAUUCAUUGGGCGUAAAGGGUGUGUAGGUGGCGCGCUAAGUCGGGUGUGAAAUUUCGGAGCUUAACUCCGAAACUGCAUUCGAUACUGGCGUGCUUGAGGACUGGAGAGGAGACUGGAAUUCAUGGUGUAGCAGUGAAAUGCGUAGAGAUCAUGGAGGAAGACCAGUGGCGAAGGCGGGUCUCUGGACAGUUCCUGACACUGAGACACGAAGGCCAGGGGAGCAAACGGG